AUCAUUAUUGGUGGUAUCUUAGC
rnacentral:snRNA from 1 species